rnacentral:rRNA from 1 species
AGUGAACGCUGGCGGUAGGCCUAACACAUGCAAGUCGAACGGCAGCACAGUAAGAGCUUGCUCUUACGGGUGGCGAGUGGCGGACGGGUGAGGCAUACAUCGGAAUCUACUUUUUCGUGGGGGAUAUCGUAGGGAAACUUACGCUAAUACCGCAUACGACCUACGGGUGAAAUCAAGGGAUCUUCGGACCUUGCGCGAUUGAAUUAGCCGAUGUCGGAUUAGCUAGUCGGCUGGGUAAAGGCCCACCAAGGCGACGAUCCGUAGCUGGUCUGAGAGGAUGAUCAGCCACACUGGAACUGAGACACGGUCCAGACUCCUACGGGAGGCAGCAGUGGGGAAUAUUGGACAAUGGGCGCAAGCCUGAUGCAGCCAUGCCGCGUGGGUGAAGAAGGCCUUCGGGUUGUAAAGCCCUUUUGUUGGGAAAGAAAAGCAGCAGGUGAAUAUCCCGCUGUUCUGACGGUACCCAAAGAAUAAGCACCGGCUAACUUCGUG